UGGAUCUACUCGAUUUGCUAACGGUUUAGGGUGGUCUUGCCUGAUGAUAAUCCAGAGUAAGCGCAGAUACCUGAUGCAGUAUGGCGACCUCAGCUUGCAUGAUUUAGUUUGGAUCAGGCGAAGCUCUAUUGAUUUGUGUGCUGUGCUAGCACCAGUAAGGCUAUUGCCUGAGGAGAUUGAUUGCGAUAAAAUAGCACAAGGUUUAGAUAUGUGAAGGGUUACAGUUGAGAGUAUCGUAUGGCAAUAUGGUGUGUUCAACAUAUUCGUGUCUUAUCUAGAUGAACUAGCAGAAUUAACUAUGUAAUUGAGUGGGUAGUAGAAUAAUUAUAAACAUUUAGUUGUAUUUGGUACAAGUCUACGCUUUUAUGGUAUUUUAAUUUUUUUUUGCAAUUUAUGAUAUACAAUUCAAAUGUUUGUCAUUGAAACUUUAGUAUACUUCUCAAAAUCAUGAAUUUAACAUGUUGACUUUUUACUGUUUCAAAAUAUAGUACAUACAUAUCUUUUCUUAAGUCAAACUUUGCAAUGUUUGGCCAAGUUUAUAGCGAAAAAUACCAGCAUCAACAAUACAAAAUAAAUAUAAUAUGAAAAUAUUUUUCACAUUGUAUAUCAUGAAUUUAACAUGUUGACAUUGUAGAUGUAGAUAUUUUUCUCUGCAAACUUGGUCAAAUUUGCAAAGCUUGACAUUUGAAUUUUUUUUCUUUAUGUUCUAUAUUUUGAAACAUAAGGCUUGUAGCAUUAACAAUGGAACUGUGUUGCUAUUGUUGCCACCACUAAGGGGCUGAGAAUGAUAUUUUGCUUCGAGGAGUCUGGACAAACCGUGGAUGAUGAAUGAUUUUAUGGAUAAGUGAAGUUACUUGUAGAGAAUUACAUUGUUUUUACAAGAUAAAUUGAAAUGUUUGUGUGUAAAGGUAACUAACAUAAUUAACCAUGUAAUUGGGUGUUCAUUGUAUCAUCAUCAUCAUUAUUAAAAUUUCUAAUGUUUCUCAUUCUUAUUUAAGCUCUUUUUUUGUUAUAUGCAUACGAUUCUACAACAUUACAAAAUAAGCUUUUGGAGAUCAUGCUAUACAAUUCUAAUAUUUGUAAGUAAAAAAUUAGUAUAAAUUGAUGGCCUGACCUUGAUUAUUUCUUACUCUCGUAACUAGUAGAAACAUAACUAGAACUAUCCACAUAAUUGUGUUGCUAUUUUAAAAUUAUCUUUGAAAAUACAGUGUUUGUUAUUAAAAAAAAUUGUCGGACAUGUUUCACAUAUCUAUCCUUCUUCAUAGUUGCAAAAUGCAAUUGGAGUUGGUAUAAUUGAUAGUUAAGUCAUGUUGGUGUUACAUGCUAUUAUUGUGUGUCAUUUCGAAAUAAACUUUUAUACUUCUUAUCUCUUAAUAAUUUAAGAUUUUGGGUACCUAUUUAUUCUCUAUUAAUAAAUAUGUAGGUUUUCUGUUAUCUUACUUCAUGUGUUUUCUCUGGGUUGAUGAUAUUUGUUUUUUUAUUUUGUCCUUCAUUACGGUAUUGUGUUUUCUCUUCUCACAAAAUGGAAGUGUUGCCAUCGUACUAUGCUCCAUAUAUUUGUGGUUUGUGUUAUAUAUGUGAUUUUGUACUCAUUACAUAAAAAAAAUAAAAAUUCAGGAGAGCUGGUUGUAGUUUUGGGUACUUGGGAAUUAUAUUUCCACCUUUUCAGGUAUUGACACCAAUACCAUCUCCUUGCUGUUAACUAACCAAAUUAGGUCUGCAUUUGGCUAGAUACUAUGUAUAGUUGUAUAUGUUAUACUACCUCCAUGUUCAACUCCUAGAUAUAGUUGGGUACGCUAUACAUCUCUACACAUGGUUAAUCUUAAUCCCUAGAGGUGGGGAUAGGUGCUUUAAAAUAAUUACAGUGGACAUGGCACACGGCUAACAAAUGUUGGUGUGUCACUACUAGAUAUAGAAUUUUGUCAUUAGUAACAAUUUUUUUCAGAUUUUUUUUUCGUUUUUUUCUUAAUCUCAAGUCAUUAUGUCUUAAUCUCGGGUCAAAUCGCACUCCGUGGUCAAACUUCCCGAAAGGUCACCCAUCCUCACACUACUCCAGCCCAAGCACGCUUAACUUCAAAGUUCUAUCCAACCCCAGCAACAGCUCACUUCACAGGCACUUGUUGAUAUAUGUAACAUAUCAAUCCUAUUAUACCUUAUUGAUGUCUAGGACUUUGUUCAUGUUCAUGACUAUGAUGAAAUUUUGAAAAAUAUUUCAAACUUUCCGGUCAUAUUACGUAUCAUUUUUUGAAUUUUUUUUUUAAAAAAUUCAAAACCUUUUUUUUUGAAUUUUUUUGCCUCUAGAUCUUGAAAGCCCCAUAACUUUUUUUGUGUUAGGUUUUUGGGGAUUUUAAAAAUGUUUAACGGGGUGCACGGGUCCACCAUGCCACCUUUCCCGCAUGCAGUUACAGGGUUGUUUCCCGUAUAUGGCUAAAUUUUGUGGUCCGCACACAUACCGUGACCCUGUCCGUUCCCCUCAUCUCUCAUCUCUCACGCCUCUCGAGACCUAGACUAGGGCGCCGCCGCUGCAACCCCAACCGGAGAUGCUCCCUCGGCGGAGGGUUUUGACGGGCACGGGCGUGUCCCGCCGGCUUCUGUGCCGCGUGUGGCCCGAACACCGGCCAUCCUGCGGAAUCUCCCUGGCUUCUGCGACGCCUGUGGACGGAGGAGGGGGAGGCCCUGAGCGCCGGUCAUCCUUGCGAAUAUCUCCAUGGCAGAGACGAUGCAAUGGUAGCUAAAUUCUAUGGUCGGCCUCUUUCGACGUGUGACGGCAAACUGGUCUGGUGAGUUGAUCUGACUGAUGGGAAGUACGGUGCAUCGCAGCCCUGCUCCGGUAACUGUUCUCCAUAGACUCCAGGCCGACAGUAUAGUUCUUGUAGAUCUGCCCGAGGAGCGUCCCGCUAUGGCGUUGACCGCCACAGAUCUGAAGGUACCGGUGGGCAGGGGCGGAGCUUCGUUACGGCUGAACCGGGCCAUGGCCCGCCCAGGAAUCUCGUGAUUAUUUUUUAUACCUAUCCUUUGCCUCGUAGCCUACUCGGCCUAGUUACGAUCGAUCCAAGUCUCAAGGUUUGGCACGCCACUAGGAGCAGAAACUGUCAGCCGGCUAUGCCGCCACCAGCAACUCGCGCAGCUCAGAUCUCGCGUCGGAGAGCCAGCGCCCAUCCCCCUUCCAGGCUCCCAAGUCCCAUCUUCGGCCCUUCCCCGCGGAGAUCGCACAGCCUCCUCGCCGCUAAAUACACGCUUCCUGCUGCCUGCUCCAUGGCUCUGCCUGCCUUCUCGCGACCUCGCCAUGGCGCCAUCCUCCCUUCGGCCCUUCCUUCUAGGCUCCGGCCUCCACACGGACCAGUUCUGGCCCUGGCCGUCGGGAUGCUGCCGCUGUGUCGCCCAGAUCAUUACUCCGACCCUUGCCUCCUCUGACCACUGCAAAAUACACUGCGCUAGCAACCAACUAGAUUUGCCGGUGCGUUGUUGAGUGCCGACGCUUAGUAGAGCUCAAUCAGCUCGAUGCAAGGUUUUUCAGUUGCGACUUGGCGAGUCGCCGCGAGCCCUGCGGCUUGGCGAUUAGUCGACAAAAUUCACUAUAUAGUCACCAUAAGUCGCUGUAUAGUCGCGAGUCGCCCUGAUUUUUGGAAAACGACUUGGCGAUUAGUCGGCGACUAUACAGCGACAAAAAAACCAUGGCUCUAUGUUCACCUCCUGAUGCCGCUGCCGCUGGGCAGUUUCUAAAUAUCUCCAGAGCAGCAUGCUUUUGUUAUGAAUUGAGCAACAUCAAUGCAUUUUAUUAUCAAUUCAUAUGUAGAAAUACACGAUAAAGAUAUAUUUUUCCUUUGUUCCUAAUGCAUAACAUUUUUUGAUAAGUGCAUUUUAGUGUAUGGAGAUCAUUGAAACGAGUCAUAAUAAGGUAGAAGAUGAGUCUCUUAGUAGUAACUUGUUUGCUAACCCAUCCCAACCGAGUUCUCUAGCUGGUGAUGCUGCCUGGAUCUACUCGAUUUGCUAACGGUUUACGGUGGUCUUGCCUGAUGAUAAUCCAGAGUAAGCGCAGAUACCUGAUGCAGUAUGUCGACCUCAGCUUGCAUGAUUUAGUUUGGAUCAGGCGAAGCUCUAUUGAUUUGUGUGCUGUGGUAGCACCAGUAAGGCUGUUGCCUGAGGAGAUUGAUUGCGAUAAAAUAGCACAAGGUUUAGAUAUGUGAAGGGUUGCAGUUGAGAGUAUCGUAUGACAAUAUGGUGUCUUCAACAUAUUCGUGUCUUAUCUAGAUGAACUAGCAGAAUUAACUAUGUAAUUGAGUGGGUAGUAGAAUAAUUAUAAACAUUUAGUUGUAUUUGGUACAAGUCUACGCUUUUAUGGUAUUUUAAAAAUGUUUUGCCAUUUAUGAUAUACAAUUCAAAUGUUUGUCAUUGAAACUUUAGUAUACUUCUCAAAAUCAUGAAUUUAACAUGUUGACUUUUUACUGUUUCAAAAUAUAGUACAUACAUAUCUUUUCUUAAGUCAAACUUUGCAAUGUUUGGCCAAGUUUAUAGCGAAAAAUACCAGCAUCAACAAUACAAAAUAAAUAUAAUAUGAAAAUAUUUUUCACAUUGUAUAUCAUGAAUUUAACAUGUUGACAUUGUAGAUGUAGAUAUUUUUCUCUGCAAACUUG
rnacentral:lncRNA from 1 species